rnacentral:lncRNA from 1 species
AUAGAAAAAAAAAAAUCCUUAAUAUUUGGAUCAAGGACCAAACACAAUUUCCUUUUAAGUAGUUCAGUAAUAUGCAAACAUGCUGAGAAUAUAAAAACUGGAAAAGAGUUCUGACUAGUCUAAAUUUCAAACUAGUAAGGGAUGAUUUUGCAUGCUUUCUCCAUUGUCAUAACCUUCGUAAAGAUAGUCUCAACUGAUUGUAAUGCUGUAAAGACUUUCCAGAACAAUUAAAAAAAAAUAAAUGAAGGGGUAUCUGCCUAAAUAGGUAUUCACUGCAGAUGAAAUGGGUCUCUAUCGGAAGCAUGUGCUUAGCAGGACAGUCCCAAAGCUGAGGCUCUGCAGCAGGAUUCAAGGCUAUGAAAGAUCAUGUUGCCUUAUUCUUUUGUGCUAACACAGUAGGUGACUAUAUUAUGAAACCAAUGCUAGUGUGUCACUUGUUGAACCUAUAUGCCUUAAGGUAAAAACAAAUGUCUCUUCCAGUGUUUUGAUAUACAAACAAGAAAGCAUGGAUAACAGUUGCAUUGACAAUGGACUGACUGAAUAAUUGUUUCAUUCAUGAUGUUGAACAGCAUCUAGGAUCUUGGAUAACCCUCCAAGACAUCCACAACUACUUCAGUUCUACCCAAAUGUAUUUCUGCUUCUAAAUCCUACUACACUCAUAAUCAAUGGACCAAGGAAUAAUAGAAACAUUUAAGUGAUACUAUAUACAUUGAAUGCUUAACAGAAUAGUGAAAGCUAUUGAAAAUUGCCAGAAUCUGGUAGUCAGAUUGCGGAAACUAGUUCAAUAUUAUUGAUUGCACUUCCAUCAUUACACACUUACUUGAUAAAGUAAAGCAGUCAACUCUGAAUGCCUGUUGGUCUAAACUGUGGAAGGAGAGUGCAAAUGAAUUUGCCUAACAAACUUUCAGAGGUCAAGAAGACAGUGAAUGUUGCAAAAUGUCUGGGAAGUGAAGAUUUGGCAGAUGUAAAGGAUGAUGUAGAGCAACUGCUGCAGUCACAUGAGGAAUUAACUGAAAAGGAUUUGGAGGAACUAAUCAGAUUAGUGAGAAAGAGAAUGAAGAUGAAUACAAAGAUGAGAAGAGUAAAAUGACUCUGCCUAGCCUGAACAAAGGACUAGUAAUGAUGAAUAAUCUUCCAGAUUUUUUUCUUUGAAAUCAGUUUCAACAUGGACUGGAAGUUUAAAAUUAAAAUGGAGUUUGGAAAAUUUGUUAGUUCCAUAUAAACAGUUACAAG